rnacentral:rRNA from 1 species
UACGAAGGGUGCAAGCGUUACUCGGAAUUACUGGGCGUAAAGCGUGCGUAGGCGGUUUGUUAAGUCCGUUGUGAAAGCCCUGGGCUCAACCUGGGAAUUGCAGUGGAUACUGGCGAGCUAGAGUGCGGUAGAGGAUGGUGGAAUUCCCGGUGUAGCGGUGAAAUGCGUAGAGAUCGGGAGGAACACCCAUGGCGAAGGCGGCCAUCUGGACCAGCACUGACGCUGAGGCACGAAAGCGUGGGGAGCAAACAGG